rnacentral:ncRNA from 1 species
UAGUUAAUCAGAAUUGAAUCACUAGACCGUUUCUGACUUCAGCAGUGAAGUAUGUCGUUUAAUUCGAUAAUCCACGAAAAAUCUUACCGCAAUUUGAAUAAAUAAAAAAGUGAAAAUUUUUUAAUUUUACAGGAGUUGCACGGCUGUUUCCAGUUAAUAUUGUGAAAUAAAGAGAUAAAUUAACGAAAUCCCUCGCUUUAUUUUUAAGAGUACUUUAGGGUACUAUUUAUAUUCAAAUAAGCCAGCCAGCAUAGCUGGCUGGCUUAUUAAUAUGAAUGUUAAUAAGGUUUCUUCUUUGUAAAAGGGAACAAGACAAGUCAUCAUGGCCCUAAUAUUGCGGGCUAUAUGACGUGCCACAUAUUUCUAUACAAAAAGAUGCAAAAAUGUGAGUUUGAGCUAAUCUUUAAAAUAGAAUAUAAACAUAUGGAUUGUAGUCUGAAAUUCGACUAUAUGAAUAAGUAAUUGCUAGUAAUCGCGAAUCACCAUGUCGCGGUGAAUUGAACCUCGGAUUGGUACUAACCACUCGUCACAUGCUGAAAGAAGUUUCAUCGCAAUAAGUUUGCUCUUUUGAUACAAUACUGUUAUUUUUUUGAAUUUAAUUUCUUGUAUUGGAAUUCACCGCAUGCGUGGCUUUAAUUAGUGUUAAGUCGAAAUACGGUUCGGGUAGUGGAAGUUGCCCGGG